CCUACGGGAGGCAGCAGUGAGGAAUCUUGGUCAAUGGCCGUAAGGCUGAACCAGCCAAGUAGCGUGAGGGAAGACUGCCCUAUGGGUUGUAAACCUCUUUUAUGCGGGGAUAAAGGUGUACACGUGUGGAUGUUUGCAGGUACCGCAUGAAUAAGGACCGGCAAAUUCCGUGACAGCAGCCGCGGUAAUAAGGCAGGUUCGGGCGUUAUCCGGAUUUGUUGGGGUUAAAGGGAGCGUAGGCCGGCCUUUAAGCGGGCCGGGAAAUUUUGUGGCUCAACCAUGGGAGUGCGGCGCGAACUGGAGACCUUGAGUGCGCGGAAGGCAGGCGGAAUGCGUGGUGUAGCAGUGAAAUGCUUAGAUAUCGCGAAGAACCACGAUUGCGAAGGCAGCCUGCCGCAGCGUUACUGACGCUGAAGCUCGAAAGCGCGGGUAUCGAACAGGAUUAGAUACCCCAGUAGUC
rnacentral:rRNA from 1 species